UACGUAGGGGGCAAGCGUUGUCCGGAAUCAUUGGGCGUAAAGAGCGCGUAGGCGGCCCUGUAAGUCCGCUGUGAAAGUCAAGGGCUCAACCCUUGAAUGCCGGUGGAUACUGCAGGGCUAGAGUCCGGAAGAGGCGAGUGGAAUUCCUGGUGUAGCGGUGAAAUGCGCAGAUAUCAGGAGGAACACCGGUGGCGAAGGCGGCUCGCUGGGCCAUUCCUGACGCUGAGACGCGAAAGCUAGGGGAGCGAACAGG
rnacentral:rRNA from 1 species